AUUGAACGCUGGCGGCAGGCUUAACACAUGCAAGUCGAGCGGAGAUGAGGUGCUUGCACCUUAUCUUAGCGGCGGACGGGUGAGUAAUGCUUAGGAAUCUGCCUAUUAGUGGGGGACAACAUUCCGAAAGGAAUGCUAAUACCGCAUACGCCCUACGGGGGAAAGCAGGGGAUCUUCGGACCUUGCGCUAAUAGAUGAGCCUAAGUCGGAUUAGCUAGUUGGUGGGGUAAAGGCCUACCAAGGCGACGAUCUGUAGCGGGUCUGAGAGGAUGAUCCGCCACACUGGGACUGGAACACGGCCCAGACUCCUACGGGAGGCAGCAGUGGGGAAUAUUGGACAAUGGGCGGAAGCCUGAUCCAGCCAUGCCGCGUGUGUGAAGAAGGCCUUUUGGUUGUAAAGCACUUUAAGCGAGGAGGAGGCUACUUAGAUUAAUACUCUAGGAUAGUGGACGUUACUCGCAGAAUAAGCACCGGCUAACUCUGUGCCAGCCGCCGCGGUAACAC
rnacentral:rRNA from 1 species